GACGAACCGUGCGAACGUUGUUCGGAAUCAUUGGGCUUAAAGGGCGCGUAGGCGGGCUUACAAGUCCGGGUUGAAAUACUUCAGCUUAACUGGAGAACUGGCCUGGAUACUGUAGGUCUCGAGGAAGGUAGGGGCAUCUGGAACUGAUGGUGGAGCGGUGAAAUGCGUUGAUAUCAUCAGGAACUCCGGUGGCGAAGGCGAGGUGCUGGACCUUUUCUGACGCUGAGGCGCGAAAGCCAGGGGAGCGGAACGGG
rnacentral:rRNA from 1 species